GAUGAACGCUAGCGGCAGGCUUAAUACAUGCAAGUCGUGGGGCAGCAGGUCUGUAGCAAUACAGAUGCUGGCGACCGGCAAACGGGUGCGUAACACGUACGCAACCUUCCCGUUACUGGGGAAUAGCCCAGGGAAACUUGGAUUAAUACCCUAUAUUAUAUUGGUUAGGCAUCUGACUGAUAUCAAAGCUUCGGCGGUCACGGAUGGGCGUGCGGUUGAUUAGGUAGUUGGCGGGGUAACGGCCCACCAAGCCUACGAUCAAUAGCUGAUGUGAGGGCAUGGUCAACCACACGGGCACUGGGACACGGGCCCGACUCCUACGGGAGGCAGCAGUAAGGAAUAUUGGGCAAUGGACGAAAGUCUGACCCAGCCAUGCCGCGUGAAGGAUGAAGGUGCUCUGGAUUGUAAACUUCUUUUAUCUGGGGCGAAAAUCGGUUAUUCUUAGCCGCUUGACAGUACCAGAUGAAUAAGCACCGGCUAACUCCGUGCCAGCCGCCGCCGUAACAC
rnacentral:rRNA from 1 species